CAAGUCUGGAGUUGGUUAGGGUUGGGGGGAGGCUGGAGGGUGGGAGAUUGGUUAGGAUAGCAAUCCUUAACCUUUAAAAUGCAUGGAAUCCCUGGGGGGUCUUGUUAAAAUGCAGAUUCUGAUUCAGCAGGUCUGAGAUCCAUCAUUUUUAACAAGCUCCCAGGUGAUGUUGUAUUGUUGAUCCAAAGAGCACACUUGAACAGCAAGUGGUAGCAGACUUGUAAGGGCCCUGCGGAGAGAAGAUGGUCUGACUCCAGCAGAGCGGAGGGGAUGAGUGAAGCACUGGGGUUGAGGAUGUCAAGAAGGUGGGAUCUUAAGACCAGGACUGGGACUGCUGAGUAGGGCAAGACCCGGGAAAUAACUCUCAGAGGGGCAGCUUGGGGAUUUGGUUGAUGGGGCUUUUCUGUCCACUCGCUGAUAGACCCCAGGAGUGAGGACGGGGGGUGGAGCUGGUAAGGAGCCACUUUGGACCCCCUGGCAUCGCGUGUUUGUGGCACACACGAGAUGCUCAGUAGGCAGUGGAUGGUUUCUGUCUGUAUCAGCAGAGUCUGGGCUGGAGGGACCCGGAGUGAGAGGGUCAGAAGGCUGUCCAGAGAAGCUAGAGCGUUCAUGGAAUUCGGAGAGGGACUUUUAAGAAGGAGGAAGUGAUGCCAGGGUCACAUGCCAUUGAGAGGUCCAGAGAGGAAAGGGUUCUGCAAGGAGGAGGUCCCUGGUGACCUCAGCCUGGAAAAUUCCAGGCACUGGGGGGUGUGGGUUAAGCAUGGAUUGGAAGGCGAGAAGGGAGGGGUUAGUGGAGAAUGUGCUAGGGGGACGGGAGGGUCAGGAGACAAGGAUAGACACCUAUGGUGAGUAUGAUGAUAAUGACGGCUUGCUUUUGAUGGAGCUGGUGUGCCAGGCACUGUGCCAAAUUUCCAAUGUGCUCCUUGCAACACCACUGAGGACAUGAAGCCAUUGCUGUCUAGGGGGCUCAGAUGGAGAACAGGAGAGGGAGCCCCUUACCUCCAGUGAGCAGUGUUCCCCAAGUGUGGCCUUCCGCAAAAGCAGAGAAAGCAGCCAUGUGGGUGUGGGUUCAGGUUUGAGUGUGUGCUGGGAGUGGAAGCAUUUCAGGUACAAUUUACCUCCCUCAUGGCAGGGGCAGGGUGAGGCCCUGGGGCUCACUGGCAUGACUGAGGCCUGGAAUCAGAAGCAGACACUGAAGGCCUUCAAGCUGGAUGGUGGAGUUGGGACUGAAAAUCCUGCGGUCACGCCUGACUUCCCACUCUCCACCACUGGCCUGGCCACUUCUGUUGAAAUGUCUCUGGAAUCCUUCUCUUUGUUCCUUGACCCUCAGCGCCUUGAGCUUAAGCCUCUGCUUGCCUGGGCUAAGCCUCUCUUGGGACCUGCCUGUCCUCCCUCUGGGGGGGGGGGGUCUCUUUAUCUUGACCUACCUCUCCCAUAUCUGCCCACCAUAUGUCACAGGUGUUUUCUGGAGGUUGUCAUCUGUCCCGUGCCCCCAUCCUGUUUCAGGGGAACGUCCCACUGGGUGAUCUACCCUAGAAUUCUCUAUCUACCUUAAUCUCCCCACCCCCCAACAGCACCAACUGCUUCACCCACGGCCUUCUCCAUCUCCAGUGCUCGCAGCUCGAUCUUUCUAGCUGUUCGGGCCCCAAACCUGAAUUUCUGAUUUUGCUCCCGCCUCUGCUCUGUCAGCAGAUCCUGCCAGCUCCACCUUCAUGACACACACAGAGUCUGAUGACUUCCCACCAUCUGCACCAUCGUCCUCUCCCGUGGGUGACUGUGGUGGUCUCCUAAUUGCUCCUCCGCCUCCCCUCUCCCCUCUGACAUCGCUUCCCUACACAGUGGCCAGAGUGGUCCAAUGAAGCUGUAAGAUGAUCACGUGGCCCCUGAGCUCCAGAGAGCUCCCACUAUACUCUGGGGGAAGCCCAGCUCCUAACAGGGGCGUGUAAGUCUUACAGAGCCCGCUGCCCCAAUCGCUCUGGCUUCAUCUGCACUGUUCCCCUCGUUUCUGUUCUGUGGCCACACUGGCUUCCUUGUUGUUCCCCCGUGCGCCGUGGGCAUGCCCCUGCUUUCUCAGUUAGGCUCUCAUGGGCCCCCUUCCUUACACCCACCACCUGUGCCCUUUCUGCCCCGCCCCAACCUUCCUUACCCUUUUCCUUUGUCCUUGACCGUCUCUUUCCUAUGUUUCUAUCUGUUGGUGGUGGUCAGUGUUUCCCCUCCGAUGGAAGUGCCAUGAAGACAAGGACCUUUUUCGGAUUUGGCUGCUGUUCUCAAGGAACUAGAACUGUGCCCGGCACACCCUUGCUGUUUGAUGAAUAUUUACUGAAAGAACAGAAGGAAGGAAUUCUGAGCAUCUGUCUUUGUGCCCUGGACACUAGAUGCAGGCCCAGGAACCAAGCCUCGCCCAUCUGAUGCCUUCGUGAUCUGCUCUGAGGAUCCAAGUGACCAGAACAGAGGCUGGUGGGGUUCCUUCUUGAUGGCUUUGCCCAGAGUGCCCUGGGGGCAGGGGGACUGUGUCCGGGGCCCAUUUCUGCUGAGAGACGGCUGUACUUUUCCCUUCUUGGCCCCCAGGGCUCCAACUCUAGGUGAUCCUUUCUAUUCCUCUGUUUUUCCUAAGAAGCCAGAAUCAGUUUUCCAGACCCCUGGCUGGUUCAUCUCAGGAUCACUAAAGCCAGCAGCUCCUCAAUCAUGGUCCAGCUUGACCUCUCCCAGGAAGAGCAUAGCUAUGCCUGUGGUUUCUACCCUGACCCGGGCGCCCAUGACUUAGUCCUGAUACUUUCCAGUCCCAGGCCUUCCCCCUGGCUCCUCAGGCCAUGCCCACUUUUAUUUGUGUCUGGGAACCGAGACCAAAACUGAACUGACAGCUUGUCCCUGGACCCGCCCCUCCUCUUGUCCUACUUUGGUUAAUAGCCUCUCUCUCCUGAGAAAGAAACGUGAGGGUCCUUCUUAAUUCUUUCUCUCUCUCUCUCCCUCCUCCUCUGAAUCAGCCAGCCAGUCUCAUAAAACCAGCCUUGUCAACACCUCUUAAAUCACACUUUCCCGAAACAUGGCCCUCUUUCAGUCCUAAACAUCUCUGUGGCCAAUGUCAGCAGGUGCCUCCCAGCUGACUUCUCUUAACCAUCGUCCUCCUCACCACACCCUCCAUGUGGCUCUUGGAACCAGUCUCUGGGCUAUGCUUCUGCUGGGCACUGAAUGUUCAGGUUCCAGAAUAUCACCCUCAGACAGCUCCCUAUCCCGGGGGGUGCCCACACCCCUAAGCUCCGGAGACAGAGGGCACUAGCCAAGAGAAAAGACAGCCCAUGCACCAACUUCAGUCUCUGACCCAGCUGAGCCAAGAGAGAGACUGGAUGGCUCUGGGCUCACACUCACCACUGUACCGCUCACAGAAAACAGGUCUCAUCAGAAUGAAUGGAAGAGUGUCCUUGCUUUGAAUGAAAUGCCAAUGAAGGAUAACUUAAGCUAAUUAUCGAGUCAUGCCGGAAGCCAAAUUAUAGGCAUUGUCAUGUUAUAAACACCAUUUCUCAAGAGAGCAGCUUGGAGACAUCUGGGCAGCUGGAAGCCUGAGCUCAUUAUCUUCCCCUCCAACCUGCUCUGUCUCCUCCUGCAUCCCACCCAUGAUAUGCGGGAAGCCUCAGCCUUCCCUCCGCCCCAUGGCCAGUCGCUCAUUCUCCCUCAAAUAACCAUGGUUGUGGUCUCCGACUCCCAUCCGGUCUUCACCAUCUCUUGCAGGAACUGUGGGUGAGUGACAGAGAGUGAUGCCUCUGCUUUCCUCAUCUGCAAAAAAGGAUUUUUGUUUUAAACACAGUGAAGGUUUCACUUUAAUCAAGUAUGCCAGAUGCAGGGCAUGGAGUUGAGUUCAAGCUGAACAUUUGGGAAAUGCUAGUUCUCUAUUCCCUUCAUGCUUCCGCACCCUUCCCCUUGCCAAGUCGGACCACAUGAUUUCUUUCGCUUAAAAGUGGUCCUUGGGAUGCCUGGGUGGCUCAGUGGGUGAAGCCUCCGCCCUACGGCUCAGGUCAUGAUCUCAAGGUUCUGGGAUCAAGCCCUGAGUCCGGGCUCUCUGCUCAGUGGGAGCCUUCUUCCCCCAGUCUCUCUGCCUGCCUCUCUGCCUACUUGUGAUCUCUCUCUCUGUCAAAUUAAAAAAAAAAAAAUGUCCUUAAUUUCCCAACCUAUAGGAUAAAAUCCAAAUUUGUUUUAUUUUUUAAAGAUUUUAUUUAUUUAGGGACGCAUGGGUGCCUGAGUUGUUUAAGCAGCUGCCUUCCGCUCAGGUCACGAUCCCAGCAUCCUGAGAUCGAGUCCCACAUCGGGCUCCUUGCUCAGCAGCGAAGGGAACCUGCUUCUCCCUCUGCCUCUGCCUGCCACUCUGUCUGCCCCUGCUCACUCUCUCACUCUCUCUCUCUGACAAAUAAAUAAAUGAAAUCUUUUU